GACAGAGGGUGCAAGCGUUAAUCGGAAUUACUGGGCGUAAAGCGCGUGUAGGCGGUUUGUUAAGUCGGAUGUGAAAGCCCCGGGCUCAACCUGGGAACUGCAUCCAAAACUGGCAAGCUAGAGUAUGGUAGAGGGUGGUGGAAUUUCCUGUGUAGCGGUGAAAUGCGUAGAUAUAGGAAGGAACACCAGUGGCGAAGGCGACCUCCUGGACUGAUACUGACACUGAGGUGCGAAAGCGUGGGGAGCAAACAGG
rnacentral:rRNA from 1 species